AGUAUCACUGCGCGUCAGCAUUGCGGCGGCUGUGGGGAUGGAAGCGCAUGCGCUUGAAAAAACCAUUCUAUGGAAAAGUCGAGAACGUUCACAUGCUCCCAAAUCUGCCAAGUAUUCAGAGAAUGCUGUCGUUUGACCUAUCAAUUACGUACAGAGCAAAUCAGUGAUUUAUUUUCACUCUUUCUUCAAUUCUUUGAACUUGAAUCAAACUUCUUGCAUUCAAUUUGCAAAGUACAAACCAGGCUCACUACAUUUAACUAUGUACUUGGACUUUGUGAAAUCCAUGACAAAUAAUGACAUUUUCUGAGGGAACAUAUUUUGAUGCAUCUAGAAGGGCAGCACAAAUUGAGUAUGGCCAACAAAUAAAAUAUACUGAAUUUUAAAUUAAA